GAGCGACAUCAGUCAAGCGAGACUACCCCGCUGAACUUAA
rnacentral:rRNA from 1 species